AGCAUAUUCUGUCAUUCUAAUUACUAUGAUCGAAGUUCGUUUUUAAAUCGAAUUUUAGGAUAUAAAAGUUAGCGUUUCCCGGAGUAUGAGUCAACGCAAUUAACUCUUGUUUUACUAAAAAAAGUAAAAUGACUUGUUUUCACGUUUUAAUUACAAAAAAGUUCGUCUUAAGAUAUAAUGUUAGUAUAACUGUGGGUUAAAUGGAAUUUUAAUUAAAAAAAUACAGGUAUCAAUAAUAAUGGAAUGGACUAAUUAUGGCUUUGGGUGUAUGUAAAGCAUUAUUUGACUUUGUUGCUGAAAGAGAAAGUGAUUUGUCUUUACAUAUAGGAGAUAUUGUUUUUGUAUCAAAAAAGAUUAAUAAUGAUUGGUAUGAAGGUUUUUCCAAUAAUAAAUAUGGUCAUUUUCCAUCUUGUUAUGUUGAAAUGAUAUUUAACUCAACUCCUGAAAAAGUCGGAGUUGUUAUAAGCAAUUUUAAAGGGGAUCAAAAAGACCAUCUUCCUCUUACUAAAGGUGAUGUUAUUGGAAUAACAGGUGUUAUUGAUGAAAACUGGAGUUCGGGAUAUUCAAAUUCUGAAAAAGGAAUUUUUCCUACAAAUUUUCUUAAAGAAUUAACUAUACCAAAUAGUGCGAUUUUACCUCAAACAGAUUUUAUAAACAACAAAAUUUCAGGUUCAAAUGAUAAUCUUGAUGAAUUUGAAAAAAAGAAACUCGAAAGAAGUACAAGUUAUUUAAAAACAAAAAUUAAACCUAAUAUUUUGCCUAAACCAAAGUUAAAAAAGGAAAAGAACUUAAUUCAGAAUGAUUAUCAAUUUGAGUUAACAGAUGAGAAAAUAUUUGACAUAUGUGACAGUGUCAAAAAAGGACCUGUAGUAAAAAGAAAAGCUCCACCACAACCAAUUAUUACGAAUGUCAGUUCUACAACUCCUAAUGAAUCUUCUAUUGUACAAUCUAAUCAGAUUAAUAAAGAAGUUAUAAAUAGGAAGAUGAAUCAACAGAAAUCCCCUAUUAAUAUUAAAAACAGCCCAAGUAUCUAUAGCCAUAGCGAUAUGCAAACAUUACCAAUAAACUCUCUUAAUAAUAACUCUUCAGCAAGUAGAUCUAACUUAAUGACAGUUUCUUUCACAAAAGAAAAACAGUUAGAAUUUUCAAAUGGUUUAUCUGGUUAUGAAAGUGAUUCACAUUUGUUAAAAGAUUCAAAAAAAAAUACUAAUAAAAUAUCCUUUGAUAAAAGUGUUUGCGCUUAUUCACAAUGGAGAUCACCUAAUGAAAAACAAGAUGAUCAGUGUUUUGUGCAAACAAUAAAUUCUACUGAAAAGUUAAAUGCAAACAUGCAGAGGCAUGAUUUAUAUCAAAUUGAUACAGAAAUUGCACAACUUAAAAGCAAGCUUGAGUUUGAAUCUCAUCAACUUGCUGGUGUGGAAACUUUACUUGGUGUUGUUUCAGAAGAAAACAGAAAAGAUUUAUAUGCAAAGCAGGAACAUCACGAAUCUAUGAUAAAUGAAUUAAAUGAUAGUUUGCAUGCUUUAGAAGAUGAAAAAUCAUAUGUACUGGCAUCAUUUGGUAAAGUAGAAGAUGUAAAAAAUAGAGUUAAUGAAUUAGAAAAACAAAUAGAGCAAUACUUAAAUAACUGUGAACAGCUGCGAUGUAUGCAAGAUUUCUCAGACAUUGAAGAGCUUCCAGAGAUUCGUGAUAACAUCAUUUUUUGUGAAAACAUGGUUGAUACACUGCAAGAUGAACUUAGUGGACUUAGAGACAAACUUGGUGAACUUGAUCAAUUUGAUGGAAAUAGUGAUCCUGAGAAAAUGUUGCAAAAACGAAAGAAAAACUUACGUAAAAUUAUUGAAGAGCUUAUUACUACAGAAGAAAACUUUAUUUGUGAUAUUUCAUUUUUAACAGAUAAAAUAAAAGUAAAACUUGAAAAUGAGGAGGCAGUUAACGUUAAUGUUCUUUUUGGCAAUCUUGAUGAAAUUUUGGUUGUAUCUCAAAAAUUGCUGUUAGCAUUGAAAAAUGCGUGUUGUGAUAUUUCAGACCAAGUCUCAAAUAAAAUAGCCGCUUGCUUUCUGGCUUUAUCAAUGGAAAUGAAAGAAUGUUACGCAACAUAUUGUCAUAACUAUGAUGAUGUUCAAAAUUUGUUGGAAAAGUUUGAAGAAGAACCCGAUAUCCAGCAAAAAAUUUCUAAAGCGUUUUUAUUGGAGGGUAAUAAUUUUGGGUCAAUUAGUCUAUCAUCCAUGCUUAUUAAGCCAGUGCAGAGAGUAUUAAAAUACCCAUUAUUACUAAAUGAAUUGUUAAAGAAUUCUCUUGAUAGCGAAUCAAACUGUGACCUAAAAUUAGCAUUGAACACAAUGAAUGAUGUUGCUACUGCUAUAAAUGAAUUUAAAAGACGCAAGGAUUUAGUUUUAAAGUAUCGUGAGACAGUCCCCGGAAUCAGUAAGAAAGUCCAAAAGUUGAAUUGGCAUUCAGUUGCAAAGAAGUCAUCUCGUAUAAAUCAAAGAAUUACACAAUUUACAGGAUUAAAUUCACAUACAGUUGACCAAAAGUUCAUUUAUGAAGAAAAACGUUUUCGAACUAUUGAAAAAAUGAUUAAAUUAGUGUUGAAAAAUGUAAAUCAGUAUGUGGAAAUAUUCAAGGACAACUCUUUUUCUGAGCUUCAAUGUGCAGAAUCUUUGAGGCAGUUUCACGAUAGUCCUAAUCCGCCUGAUGAAAUUGUUAAGUACUAUGGUCGAAUAUACAUGAUAGCUGAACAAUAUUCAAGUCAAAUGGUUUCAUUCAUUUUGCAACACGUUCAAGAACCGCUUAACCAACUUUUACAGAUGUUUCACGGUCCAUUUCGUUUGAUUCAAAAGAGAAAUGAUAAAUGUCUUGAUUUUGAUAGAGCUGCAAAUAAAGCUGCUAGGGCUAGAGACACUAAGGAGAAAGAUAAAAUAAUGCAGACUCAGGAUGAACUAAAUGUGAUCAAAAAUGUAUACAUAGCACUCAAUACACAACUUCUUGAAGAACUGCCAAUUUUAAGUGAUAAAUGUUCGGUAUUUCUUCAAUACUGUUUAUCAUCUUUUGUUGAAGCUUAUAAUCGAUACUUUAGAAAAUGUUGUGUUCAAAUUAAUGAGGUGGCAAAGUUACCAUUUCUGAGUAAAGACACUGACACUGAUUUUUUUAUGAAAGCAUCAGAACAGCUUUCUAAUUUGAUGUUUACCCCAUCAUUAAAUGGAAAGGAGAACAGUAAAAAACCUUUUCUAUCAACAAACUUUAUGAAUGACCAUGAAGAUGUAAAUCACAACUCUGCAUUAUCAUCUGAUAAUGGUUUUAAUUGCAGUUCAUUCUCUGAUACCUCAACUUUAUAUGAUCCCAUUGAUCAAACAACAAGUCUAAAUUCCUUCUUAUAUGAAACUCAAACAACUGCAUCUGAAUCUAUUGCAGAAAAUACAAUUUGUAUCGUCAAGUAUGACUUUACAGCUGAAUGUGAUGCAGAAAUCACAGUUCAGGAAGGUACCUUAGUAAAUGUUUGUCGUAUGUGCGACAGUAAAGGUAACUCUGAUUGGUGGCUUGUUGAGCAGGGUGGUGUUAAAGGAUACAUACCACACACGUUCCUAAUUACGAAAUCUGCGAACGAAAAGCAUUUAAUAUGCCAAACUCAAUCUGAAAAUUUACGUAAUGAUCAACACGACGAAAAUGCGACUUUUAAAGUUGAAUAUAAUUUUCAAGCUAUAAACCCUGGUGAGUUAACAGUUAAUGAAGGACAAACAGUACGAGUACUUCGUAAACAUGACUCAAAAAGAAAUAAUGAGUGGUGGUUAGUUGAAUAUGAUGGAAAGCAAGGCUUUGUGCCACAAGAUUAUUUAAAAUCAAUAAAUAAACCCUGAAUAUAGAUAAGUUGAAAGAUUUUUGGAGAUUUAGGAUUUAUAUGAUAAACAAAAAGCUUUACUUUUAUAAAUUUUUUAAUGAUUUUAUAAAUCAAUAAAAAUAAUAUUUCAUUUAUGUUGCUAUAGUUAUCGUUGCUACGAUGAUAUUGCUAAUUCGAUUUAGUUCAAGAUAUCAAUAUUGAGUUUUUUUUUUAAAACAAAUUUUUCCAACGGUUUUGACUAUUGAUGACUUUAACUGGCAUUUUUUGUAGAUCACUUUAAAAUUUGAAUUGCAACUUUUUACCAUGAAAUACAUUUUAUAUUAAAGUUUUAUUAAAGUUAAACUACUUUAACUUCCUCACUACAAACCAGGUUCCUACUUAACAUUUAAACACUACAAACCAGGUUCCUACUUAACAUUUAAACACUACAAACCAGGUUCCUACUUAACAUAUUUAAAAUCACUUAACUUCUAUUCAUUCUUAGUUCUUAUAGCAUUUUAAAAAUCUUAAUAAUAAAAAAAUGUAUCAAUUAACAAUGCAAGCCUUCCGCGUCUUAUUCUCUUAAUUAUUAUUAUCUUUCGCGGGCUUUUUCACUUUUAAUUAUUAUGUAAAUAAAGAAUAUUUAGCGGAGAAGCUGAAAUUCUUUUUGCAUAAGUCGGACUAAAAUUUUAUAAAGAUCAGUUCUCGUAUUAAAUCUGCCGUAUUUUCAACACAUAUAAAAUUUUUAUUUUUACAAAAACACUGGUCUGUAUAAGUUUUCUUUCUCAGCUGCGCACAGAAAAUCCUCAUUAGAUAUCAACUCUUAUUACUUUUUUAUUAUAAUUAUUAUUGUUAACAUUAUUAUAUUAUUUUAAUGCAUUUUUAAUUUAAUAUUUUUUAUUAAUGUUUAUAAUUAUUAUAUUUUUUAAUAUUAAUAUCUUGGCAAUAACAUGCUUCCAUCAUAUUUUCAGCGACAUUUUUUUUUAAAUUAACCAGAGAUACUUAACAAGACAUUGCAUCAACAAUUUUUACAUUCCGUCAACAACACUUAAAAAAUUGGACUACUUAAUUACUAGUCGGGGUCACGCGUCUGUGGAACUUCAUGAUUAAUGACAUAAAAUCUAUAACCACAAUUAAAGCAUUUUUAAAAAUUUGAAACAAUAUUUGUUAAAUCUCACUAAUAAAAACAUUUUUUUUUUUGUAUUUUUAACUCGUUUUGUUACGUUUUUACUAAUAUGUAUGUGUAUGUUUAACUCUUAGAUAUGUAAGAACUAAUUUUAUACUUAAAUAUAUGAUGAGUUUAAACGUGUAAAUAAAGUAAACUAUUUCGUUACCAAAGGAGGUGAUAAGAUGUCUUCUGCUUGCUCCUGUCAGAAUUUAAAGAAUAUAUUUUAUUUUUUAAAAGUACAUUGUAAAAUUAUUCGUUCAUUGAUGAAUUAUAUAUAUACAUAUACAUCUGAAAAUAUUGUUAUUCCUUUUCAUUUAUUUUUAAUUUUAAGUUUUUUUGUUGUUGUUUUUUGUUUAUUUGUUGUUUUCAAGGUUUCUGCUUUAAAUCAUGUUUCUUUACAAAAAUAUAAUAUCUUUACUAUAUUGUGCACAGUAUUUUUUGUGUAAAAUAUGUUAUGAUAGAUU
rnacentral:misc_RNA from 1 species